GAUUCGAUCGUGGGUUGACCUGGGUCUGGGUGUGCCUCCUUCUCUUUGUGUUUGUGCUACAGGCGAGGAUUGUGCUCGGAGAGGACCCACACGACGCUCCGCUCGCCGUCGUGGUGCACCUCUUUUGAAAUUUCCCGAGAUAGUUGAUUGGUGCUACAUGAUACAGUUGUGAGUUCUCCAACAUCUUCCAUGUCCAUAAACUAUUGUUUAUUUGUUGGUCUAAUUAUCUCUUGCUUAUCAGUACGGAGACUACAAUUUGUUCAGUCGUAAAUAAGAUGUCUAACUCCAAGUUGAAGUAUUAUCAGACUUUAUUUUUUAUAGUGUUUGAUAAACCGGUGGUUUAUAGUACCAUGGGAAUUUGUCUCAUACGUAGUAUGUGCUUCCUUAUAAAAAUAUGCCAAUCGUGUUGAAACAAGUAAUUUAUCUAGCUACACAUGCCCUUUCUGAUGCAUUGCAGGUUUGCUAUCAAACUCUCAAAAAGAAAGAACAACUUUAUUUUGUUUUGUUGGGAAACCUUUCUGUAGUCACUACCUUGAUAGAGACAACUAUGUAAUCGAGGAUAUAUUUGGUGGGUUUUCAGGCAAAGCUUAGCGGAUAUUUUUAUAGGUACAACGCUUGCUUUAUGCUUUGAUAACUUUAGAUUCCUUUUGUUCUUUGGAUUAUCAUAGCAUACUCGUCUCUUCUAAUCCUAGCAAGGGCAUUCUUCAUGUUUACAGAUAGUUUGGCGCUCUCAUGGUUCUUUUCGAGAGAUUAUUCUUCCGAGCAUUAUUUGGUAACCAUCUACUGUAGAUCAUCUACUGCCCUUAUGACCUGAGCCCGCAGGAAUCGAUGCUGCUGCGUGACGUGGGGCCCAUGCCCGACCCCGACGACGGCGGUCGACCAUAACCUCCCUCUCCGGAGAAGCUCAGGCUGCCACCACACAAAGGGAGAGGAUCCCAAGAUGAAUCUAUCCCUCCUUACUAUCAAUGACCCAACGACAGAGACAGCUACUUCGAGUCUAGGUGAGUAGCCG